rnacentral:rRNA from 1 species
GACGAACGCUGGCGGCGUGCUUAACACAUGCAAGUCGAACGGAAAGGCCCUGCUUGCAGGGUACUCGAGUGGCGAACGGGUGAGUAACACGUGGGUGAUCUGCCCUGCACUUCGGGAUAAGCCUGGGAAACUGGGUCUAAUACCGGAUAGGAGCCAUUUUUAGUGUGAUGGUUGGAAAGUUUUUUCGGUGUAGGAUGAGCUCGCGGCCUAUCAGCUUGUUGGUGGGGUAAUGGCCUACCAAGGCGGCGACGGGUAGCCGGCCUGAGAGGGUGGACGGCCACAUUGGGACUGAGAUACGGCCCAGACACCUGCGGGAGGCAGAAGUGGGGAAUAUUGCACAAUGGGCGCAAGCCUGAUGCAGCGACGCCGCGUGGGGGAUGACGGCCUUCGGGUUGUAAACUCCUUUCGCUAGGGACGAAGCUUUUUGUGACGGUACCUAGAUAAGAAGCACCGGCUAACUACGUG